rnacentral:rRNA from 1 species
GAUGAACGCUAGCUACAGGCUUAACACAUGCAAGUCGAGGGGUAACGAGAGGAAAGCUUGCUUUCCUUGUCGACGACCGGCGCACGGGUGAGUAACGCGUAUCCAACCUGCCCCCAACUAGGGAAUAACCUUGCGAAAGUAAGACUAAUACCCUAUAAUUUCCUCAGAUGUCAUAUGACGAGGAAUAAAGAUUUAUCGGUUGUGGAUGGGGAUGCGUCUGAUUAGCUUGUUGGCGGGGUAACGGCCCACCAAGGCAACGAGCAGUAGGGGUUCUGAGAGGAAGGUCCCCCACAUUGGAACUGAGACACGGUCCAAACUCCUACGGGAGACAGCAGUGAGGAAUAUUGGUCAAUGGGCGGAAGCCUGAACCAGCCAAGUAGCGUGCAGGAUGACGGCCCUAUGGGUUGUAAACUGCUUUUAUACAGGAAUAAAGUUAGCCACGUGUGGUUAUUUGUAGGUACUGUAUGAAUAAGGACCGGCUAAUUCCGUGCCAGCAGCCGCCGUAA